UCUGUGCAGAGUCAGGACAGACCCUUUUGGGGGGGCUGCAGGGUCAUGGAGAGCAUGACUAAUAUUCUUGGCCUCAGCAAGCUGACUGGGUAGUGUGACUGCAGUGUCCCUUGGGAACAUCCCGUGUGUGCUGUGGAAAAGGCAAGGAGCAAUUAUGUCAGAAGGAAAAGAUGUUAUUUUUUCAGUGCCAUGGCUCUGCUGUGGAUGCUCAGAGACGAGCUCGCAGGGAUCUCUCAGACUAAACGUGUCAGAUGUGUUGCUAUGGCCAAAUAAAGAUAUUUCUAAAUUGGUAUGGCUGUUAAAUACAUGGGAGAUAACAGCAAUCUGAGAAGCACACAUGACAGAAAUCUAGUGAGACCAAAUACUUGGUUUGGACCGAAUUAGAGUUUUUGGUCUGGUUUUUAAAUGCAGCAACUCAAAAGGCCUUUUCCCAGAGUAGAAAAGCCUCUUUUGCUGUUUCAAAGCUUAGCACAGAAAGCUGAUACACAGAAAGGAAGAUACAGCUUCCCAAAUCUAUCUUUUACAGAAAAUCAAAAUGAGGAUCCUGACAUAAGGACAGGACAAGACCCAAGAUUGAAGCCACUGCAUGGCUUUCAAUAUCAAAAUACAAAGCCCAGCAUUACAUGACACUAAUCUAUGCCAUAGCACGGGCAGCUUGAGGCCCAUCAGGUCCAUCUGAUGAGGUUCUGCCACCAUCCCAUCUGUUUUGUAUUCAUCUGUCACCGAGACUUGGAGCCACUGAGGAGGAAAAAGAACUGGCAGUGUCACGCCAUGGCUUUCUGACAUCCUUACAAGCACUGUGGGAAUUGCUAGAGGUUGUUUCCUGGUGCUUAUCAGGGGCAUCAAAAUGUAACUAAAUACCACGUAGGAGUAAAUACUGUUGUUAUCCAGCAGAAGUCCCAGCCCCAAAACUGCUGUUACACCAUGUUUCAGCUGUUCCUGAAUGUAAGGAGAUGUGUGUUGGGCACGCUGUGUCAGCCUCCUGCCAGUACAGUCCAAAUCCUGCUGGAGGGUCUGCUACAACCACUAAGGAAAAGGGUACAGUGUGGGCUCUCUGAGCUGGAAUGUGCUGCUAACACUCCGUGCAGUUGUCUCAGCCAAAUCUUCAUCUAAUUUGCUUUAACAGCAGAUGUUAAAAGGAAGAACUAAUCAAAGCAGCCAUAUACCCAGUGGGACUGAGGUUUCCUUGAGCUCGGCACUCACCUCCAGCAGCAGCAGCAGUUGGCACCCAGGGAAGAGGGAAAAAAAGUGGAUAAAGAGACACUGAAAGUUGCCUCAAACAGCCCCUGAGUCUCUGGAGUGCAAAGCAUGUCUUUUAACUCCUACUUUUUAUCCCUUCUAGUAGGCUCUUUUCCAGUCCUUGCUGAGGAGUAAAUGCUUUUUCUGUGUAUUCCCCGCAGGCUGCCCUACUUUACACCAUCACCUUGGAGAUGGAAAACACAAUUCUCUGCAAAAUCUGCUUGUCACGAUUCCCAAUUUUUUUGUAUCAGAGGGUGAGGCAGCGAAACCCUGACCCCGCUGAAAUCCCUGGGCGGUCAUAGCUGAGUUUGGCGCGGUGGGGGCUGAGGCACAGAGAAGUAUUUCGGACAUUUCUCGCAGGUCCCGGCACGGCUUUGUGCGUCUCCUUUGUUCUCCGGCAGUUUCCAUGGUGCUCCCGCUUUUGUGUGCAGACCUGUCUGCGGGCAGCACUUCUUCUCCAACGCCGCCCGCACCGGAUGAUUUCCCGAGGGGAGGCGGCGCAUCGCAUUGCGUGCCCGCGCUGCAGAGCUGCCGGGCAUCAGCCACCGCCGGCAUCCUGCAGCCUGGCACUCGGGAACCUCGGGAAACUAUGGAUUCGGGUGUUUUAAAGGAACGGAGCAAUACGCAUUAACCCAGCUCAGCCCUUCGCCGGUCGUGUUUAGCAGUAUAAGAGCAGGGCUCUUAUCCGAGGGGGUUGUUGCUGUAAAAUGAGAAGGCAGGGCAAGAAGCAGCAGCCAUGCCGCUGUUUGCUGCAGCACUCUGCAAAUUCGAUCUGCAGAUGAUCUGUAGGUGUCACAAAGCAUCAUUCCCCUCGCAUAGACGAGGAUGAACUCAUUUAUCUGUUACCCAGCUGUUAAUUCUCUGCUGAUCGUUCUGAUGCCGGAGCACUGACCUCCUGAAUGGCAUCAGCAGGGAGGAACUCGUGGUCCUCACGUCAGGCACAAAGUCAAAAUAACCUGUCCUCUGGUAUUGAUGCCCAGGAAUAAUAUCCCUCAAGAAACCUUGAGCCUGCUCAGAGGAUCACAGUAGAGUGCUUAGAGCCCGAGACUAGAAAUAUUUCAGCGGGAAAACCGGUUCUGUGCAUCUUACAGGCUGUUCAUCCAAAAGGAACUGGAGUGUAAAAUCACUGCCCAAGUGAAAAAGCAGGCGAAAGGGCAAAGCUGUGCCAAGGGGGGAUUGUAACUCCCAGGCACAGCAGAGAGUACAUUAAGUGGUGGGAAUAAGGCUGGAGGUCUGUUUAGCAGGAAUGCACUUUAAUCCGGGACCUGCAGAUAUCAAUAAGAAAAACAUUAAUAUCAAAAUAUAGAGAGAAUAUCACUGGGGGCAAAAGGGUGGCUAAGAAAGAGAUGUUCUCAUCACAAAAGCUAAAUACUUGGAGCAGAAAACUGCUUUUCUUCGCUAAGGUGAAGCUUGUACUGUGGGCUGGGAGAGAACAGGCUGCUCCCCAAAGCUGGACAUGGAAAUUGCCCUCCUCCUCAUCCAGAUCCAUCCAGUCUAUCUGUGGCCCUGGAGUUCCUGAGCUGUGUUGCCAGCCUGCAGCAGGCUGGAAUUGUGCUGGUACUUCCCAGGAAUAAACCUAUUGGUUGUGCACAAGGCACGGUGGUGGGAUCCAAGGAAGGGACAUGCCCUUGUGUGACAGAGGUGACCUGGACAGAUGUUCCUCCUGGAAGUACCAGGACAUGGAGAGUGGCACUGGAACAAAUAGAAGGGAGCAGGAUGAAAGCUCUCUGUUGUACGGGUUUGGAAAAACAUCCUCUACACCUGUAGUGUUCCACAAGUGAGGAAUAACGGUGCUUUCCCAUCAAA